CCUACGGGGGGCUGCAGUGGGGAAUAUUGCACAAUGGGCGCAAGCCUGAUGCAGCCAUGCCGCGUGUGUGAAGAAAGCCUUCGGGUUGUAAAGCACUUUCAGCGGGGAGGAAGGCGGUGAGGUUAAUAACCUCAUCGAUUGACGUUACCCGCAGAAGAAGCACCGGCUAACUCCGUGCCAGCAGCCGCGGUAAUACGCAGGGUGCAAGCGUUAAUCGGAAUUACUGGGCGUAAAGCGCACGCAGGCGGUCUGUCAAGUCGGAUGUGAAAUCCCCGGGCUCAACCUGGGAACUGCAUUCGAAACUGGCAGGCUAGAGUCUUGUAGAGGGGGGUAGAAUUCCAGGUGUAGCGGUGAAAUGCGUAGAGAUCUGGAGGAAUACCGGUGGCGAAGGCGGCCCCCUGGACAAAGACUGACGCUCAGGUGCGAAAGCGUGGGGAGCAAACAGGAUUAGAUACCCCUGUAGUC
rnacentral:rRNA from 1 species